rnacentral:rRNA from 1 species
UACGUAGGUGGCAAGCGUUGUCCGGAUUUAUUGGGUUUAAAGGGUGCGUAGGCGGCAAAAUAAGUCAGUGGUGAAAGCCGAUCGCUUAACGAUCGAACUGCCAUUGAUACUGCUUGCUUGAGUACAGUUGAGGUAGGCGGAAUUGACAGUGUAGCGGUGAAAUGCAUAGAUAUUGUCAAGAACACCAAUUGCGUAGGCAGCUUACUAAAGUGUUACUGACGCUGAGGCACGAAAGUGCGGGAUCAAACAGG